rnacentral:rRNA from 1 species
UACGAAGGGGGCGAGCGUUGUUCGGAAUUACUGGGCGUAAAGGGCGCGUAGGCGGCCGAUCAAGUCAGAUGUGAAAGUCCUGGGCUUAACCUGGGGACUGCAUUUGAUACUGAUUGGCUUGAAUGCAGGAGAGGAUAGCGGAAUUCCCAGUGUAGAGGUGAAAUUCGUAGAUAUUGGGAAGAACACCGGUGGCGUAGGCGGCUAUCUGGACUGUGAUUGACGCUGAGGCGCGAAAGCGUGGGGAGCAAACAGG